GUUCCGUAUUAUGCAGUAUGUCAGCUACUUGGAUGACGGAAUUGAUGGCUUUGUGGUCAAGUUUGCGGAUGAUACAAAGGUAGUCUGUGGCAGUGCAGAGGCCUACAGUUGUGGUGUUCUCUAAACUGCGCUGUGGAUAUCCCUACCGGAAAGGAAUAGAUCCUGAAGAUCACGUGGACAACCAUCCCAAAUAGCAGUCUGUAACUUUCCCUUUGGACUUGAAGGCGAUUCAAUGUGGCAGAACCAGGGCGAGGGGGCAGGACCGUUGCUGAGAGCGAGGAAGACCCGAGGUCUGAUCAUUUUAAGCGCUGUACCGAAGGCUGAGUCAGGUGGUGAGGUUCAGGUACCAGAGCGUACCGAUUUGACUGAAGUUGAUGCUUGGACAGGGACUUAAGCACCGUGCUGAAUCGGAAAGGUCAGUUACACGCCGAGGUCUGGGCACCAGAGGGGUCAGGGUGACCUAGCCUGAUGCUCGGAUGGAGAUUUACGCA